rnacentral:rRNA from 1 species
GAUCAGUAAGGGCUCUUAGCGGAGAGGCCCUGAGAAGGAAUCUGAGACACUAUUCCUAGCCUUACGGGGUGCAGCAGUUGAGGAAAUUCUGCAAUGCACGAAAGUGUGACAGAAUGAGCCAGAGUGUUUCUCUUAGAGAAACUUUUUUCUGAUGCAAAAAGUCAGGAGAAUAAGGACUGGGCAAGACCGGUGCCAGCCGCCGCGGUAAUACCGGCGGUCCAAGUCGUAUCCACAUUUAUUGGGUCUAAAACAUUCGUAGCUUGCUUUGCAAGUUUCUUGUGAAAUCCUAUAUCUCAAGUAUAGGGCGUGCAAGAAAUACUGCAUUGCUAGAGACCGGAAGACGUAAGGAGUACUGUUGAGGUAGUGGUAAAAUACGUUAAUCUUGACAGGACUAACAAUGGCGAAGGCACCUUACGAGUACGGAUCUGACAGUGAGGAAUGAAGGCUAGGGGCGCAAAAGGGAUUAGAUACCCCUGUAGUCCUAGCAGUAAACACUGCUCACUAAACAUUGGGAUCUCUUCGAGAGAUUUCAGUGCUGUAGGGAAGCCGAAGAGUGAGCUACCUGGGAAGUAUAGUCGCAAGGCCGAAACU